CGGCCCACUGUGGUGGAAUGUCUACGGGAAACUGAUGCCUCCCUCAGCCGGAGAGCCCUGGAACUGAGCCUGGCUCUGGUAAAUAGCUCCAACGUGCGAGCCAUGAUGCAAGAGCUGCAGGCCUUUCUGGAGUCCUGCCCUCCUGACCUACGGGCUGACUGUGCCUCAGGCAUCCUGCUGGCUGCAGAGAGGUGAGGUGCCCAGGAGUCAAAGAGGGUAGAAUCUGGGGAGGGUCAGUACCAGGACUGAUGAGCCAUAUAUCCCCUAGGUUUGCUCCAACCAAACGCUGGCACAUAGACACCAUCCUGCAUGUGCUGACAACGGUGAGGCAGGGGCCAGUCAGAGAGCUGGGCAGAAGUGGUCAGGAUUCACCACACUGACUUGGCCAUGCCCACACCUUCCAGGCGGGCACCCACGUGCGGGAUGAUGC
rnacentral:sRNA from 1 species